CAAUAAUACUCCCAGUAAUGUGUCUGAGUGUAUAACAGAGCUCCACAGCAAUAAUACUCCCAGUAAUGUGUCUGAGUGUAUAGCAGAGCUCCCCAGCAAUAAUACUCCCAGUAAUGUGUCUGAGUGUAUAGCAGAGCUCCACAGCAAUAAUACUCCCAGUAAUGUGUCUGAGUGUAUAACAGAGCUCCACAGCAAUAAUACUUCCAGUAAU